rnacentral:lncRNA from 1 species
UUUCUUCAAUUUCUCCAUGGGAGUUUUCUUCAAGCUUCCAUAACUUUCUCUCUCUAGCUCCAAUUUUCAUGUUUUUGGUGUACUCUUCGAUAAACCCUUAUGCUCUUUCAUCCUCUCACUUUAAAACCCUUCAAAAAUCUGGUUUUCAUACUUUCUCUUACUAGUUGGACGUUUUAGAGAGAGAAAGAGAGAAUUACACCAUUUAUUUGGAAGCUAUUGGGAGAGAAUUUGACUAUAAAGGAGCCUUAGGGUAAGUGAUGAAUUAAGCUUGGUUUUUAGCUGUAGAAAAUGGCUAGUAAUUGGGAUUUAUGAGCUGUUUAUUGUUGAGUAUGUUCAUUACUUUUAGUGAUUAAGAUAGUGAACAUAGAUGGCCAUUUAAUGUGGCAAUUGAAAACUAGCUAAGAGAUAGCUUUUAGGGUUCAUAGUGUGUAAAAUUGACCUAUUGCUUAUGCUAAUGUGAUCCUAGGUUCUAAGGAAGCCCCAUCAUCUCAUUUGGACAAUUAGAGGAAUUGGAGUCAUCUAAAGGCUCUACAAUCAAUUGGUGAGUGGACUGUUUAUCAAAAUUGUUUUGGGAACAUGACGGUUUUGAACAAAGUGUUUGAAUGAUUUUAUACAACUUUUCUCAAAAAUGAAUGCCUUGGGAACAGGCUCUUGUGAAAUGGUUUAUGUUAUGAUAUGUGGUUAUUAUGGAUUUCUAUGCAGCUGCAUUAUGUUGAUAUACAUAUAUGCUUGAAUAUAAUGUUGUGUAAUUAUAUUAACUCGGCUAUGUGCAAGUAGGGAGUGCGCAUAAGCCGAGGAUGACCUGGUUAUGUGCGAGUAGGGAGUACCCAUAACCCAGUGAUGACCCAGCCAUGUGCGAGUAGGGAGUGCCAUGAGCUGGUGAUGAUGAUGAUGGGAUGGUGUGCAUGAUGAUGAUGGGAUUGUGUGCAUAAUGGUGAUGGGUAUAUGUAUAUGUAUACAUACGUAAACAUGUGUGUUAUAAGAAAUUUAUGAGUUAUGUAUAUGGAUGUAAUGUAUGUGAAAUUUAGUAUGUUACACCUUGGGAAGUUGUUAUGUAUUUCUUAUUAGUUUUGAACAUUUCAAGCAGGGUGGUUUUCUUUGGAAGAAAGGGAAAUUUUCGUUUGGUGCCCUGUAUUUCGUUGCAGCGAGAAUGUCUCGGGUUUGAGAACCUUCACCAGAACUGGUUCUCGCUGCAGCGAGAAUGUAUUUCGCUACAGCGAGAUAGUCAUUGUAGCUUCUUGUUGUAGCAAAAAGGAAUCUCGCUCUAGCGAAAAACUCUCUGUUUCACCAGCUGAAUUUCGUUGCAGCAAGAAACCUUCUGUUUUUGGGUUACAAUUUCUCUGCAGCGAGAUUGAAUCUCGCUGCAGCGAAAAACCUUUUGUUUUGGUCUCCUAUCUUGUCCAAUUGCUGCCCUAUCUUUCACUACUUUGCUACCAUAUCGGAGCAUGGACUUCCAACAUUAAGGAUUAGAUGAGUUAAGUUUAAAAUGGGGAGGUUUAGUGAAAAACCUUCGGCCAAUUGAGAAACCCUCGUUCGGCUAAUAACUAAAUCCCAACGUCCCUACAACGAAAAUUCAUUCUCGCUGCAACUACUCUGCAGCGAGAAUGCCUUUUCGCUGCAGCAAAG